rnacentral:ribozyme from 11 species
AAAAAAGACGGGGAGAAAGAACGAAAGAAUGGCGAAAGAAACCAGAAAAAGGCGAAUUACGUUUGCCUAUUUAUCGUUCCUGUCCCCCAGUC